GCUGUAGCUGCUCUUUGAGUUAGCGGCGGACGGGUGAGUAACACGUGGGUAACCUACCUAUAAGACUGGGAUAACUUCGGGAAACCGGAGCUAAUACCGGAUAAUAUUUCGAACCGCAUGGUUCGAUAGUGAAAGAUGGUUUUGCUAUCACUUAUAGAUGGACCCGCGCCGUAUUAGCUAGUUGGUAAGGUAACGGCUUACCAAGGCGACGAUACGUAGCCGACCUGAGAGGGUGAUCGGCCACACUGGAACUGAGACACGGUCCAGACUCCUACGGGAGGCAGCAGUAGGGAAUCUUCCGCAAUGGGCGAAAGCCUGACGGAGCAACGCCGCGUGAGUGAUGAAGGUCUUCGGAUCGUAAAACUCUGUUAUUAGGGAAGAACAUACGUGUAAGUAACUAUGCACGUCUUGACGGUACCUAAUCAGAAAGCCACGGCUAACUACGUGCUCAGCCGCAAAA
rnacentral:rRNA from 1 species